AGUGUAGUCUUGUGUCUAAGCUGGUGUCUGGCCACCAAAGGCAGGCGUGCAGGGCCUUGGCUACUGCGCUAGGUCUGCUGAUGGCCACAAGCCUUUAGUCCCAGCUCUGCCUUAGCAAUGGGGGUGUCUGAAGGCUCAGGGGAUACACAGGUCCUCUAGGUUCCUGGGGAGAUGAUGACGGAGUCUUGCUGUGUUGCCAGGCUGGAGUGCAGUGGCGCGAUCUCGGCUCACUGCAACCUCUGCCUCCCACGUUCAAGCGAUUUUCCUGCCUCAGCCUCCCGAGCAGCUGGGAUUACAGGCACGCACCGCAAUGCCCAGAGUGAGAGUUUCGACCAGGAGUGGAUACUGAGGAGAGCAAAGAUCACCUGGUGCUCAUCAAGCCGGACUUCCAGAGGCAAAGCUCCUUAACUGAAGAAUUCAGAAAUGAUCCAGUGCAGGACCCUGAGAAGCCCACAGGAGAAGAAGAAUCCCUAAAGUGAGAGAAACCUGGGCCCUUGAGUGACUGCAUGGAGAAGAGCCCCAUCAUUGACUCAUGUUAGACUGUGACUGAAAAAUAAACCUCUUUUGUGUUAA
ensembl:lncRNA novel transcript